GCCUUCGUGGUGCAGUAGUCAGCACACUCUUCAUGUAACCGAGAGGUCCGUGGUUCGAUUCCCGGCGAAGGCG
rfam:Stegodyphus mimosarum contig37453, whole genome shotgun sequence.